ACUCAAAGGAAUUGACGGGGGCCCGCACAAGCGGAGGAACAUGUGGUUUAAUUCGAUGAUACGCGAGGAACCUUACCCGGGCUUGAAAUGCAGAAGACAGCAGAUGAAAAUCUGCCUCCGGCAACGGCUUCUGUGUAGGUGCUGCAUGGUUGUCGUCAGCUCGUGCCGUGAGGUGUCGGCUUAAGUGCCAUAACGAGCGCAACCCUCAUCAUUAGUUACUAACAGGUCAAGCUGAGGACUCUACUGAGACUGCCGGCGUAAGCUGCGAGGAAGGUGGGGAUGACGUCAAAUCAGCACGGCCCUUACGUCCGGGGCGACACACGUGUUACAAUGGGAGGUACAAAGGGCAGCGACCGGGCGACCGGAUGCAAAUCCCUAAAACCUCUCCCAGUUCGGAUCGGAGUCUGCAACUCGACUCCGUGAAGCUGGAUUCGCUAGUAAUCGCGCAUCAGCCAUGACGCGGUGAAUACGUUCCCGGGCCUUGUACACACCGCCCGU
rnacentral:rRNA from 1 species